UGUUUCAAUUCAAUGUGUAUUCUGGAUCAACUGCAUCCAAGGGAUUGUACAUCACCUUUGCAAUCUUCAAUUCACUUCAGGGAUUGUGGAUUCUGGUGUUUGGACCACUUUUCGAUUCUAAGAUACGAUUGAUCAUGUGCAAAAUGUGCCAGAGAACUCCAGAUGAGUAACAAUUGUAGAAAGCCAUGACUCAAAACUGUGCAAGUGUAAAAAACAAGACUGUGCACGCCACCCGG